rnacentral:lncRNA from 1 species
UGAGUCUGAUGACCAGGCUACAGUGUGCAAUUCCCCAAGUCAACUCUUACAAAAGCGCUAUUCCCCGCACGCAGAGUAAAAACACGGUUAUUUUUGGAGUAGGGGGUACGUUCUCUGUUGAUUCUGUGUAGAGAGGUAGCAAGAAGAAAAACCAAGAGGGAUUCGCUCUUAAUGAAUGAAAAUACGGAUCGGCGCUGUACACGCAGCCAGAGUAAAGUGGCUGAGAUCGAAGGGAAGAAAAUAAGAAAUAAGUGGGGAUAGCACAAAACAAGGAAAAGCAAAGGGGGCACGCGAACCGGAGACGAAGCAAAACCGCUGCAACUGACGAUCAACGGAUUACAACAUUAUUCCCGUUGUUGGCGAGUAAACUAUUUUCUAGAGGGAAUUGAUGGUGUCUUUACAGAGCAGAACAGACUUUGCCGAGGUGAUUUUGAAUGCACUCGGCUGAAUCAUGCUGAGGUUGUGGAUAAUAACUUUGGCUAUCAGUUUUAACAAAGGAGACUUGUAGUACUAACAAAUAAUCUGCAAGAGGUCGAAGCAUUGGGUGGUGAAGAAAGUGUACGAGAGGCUUGUCCACCUGGCUGUGGAGUGCAGAAAGGACCUGACGGUUGUCUACAAGGAGCCAGACUCAGAGUGCCCCAAACCCAAUAUCACUGCCAACAGCGCCAAAGCCUGCUAAACCAGCUGCCAUUACUCAACACAAGAAAAGGUUCACCCUCUGAAGAGCAUUCCGGAACCUGCCUGGAACAUUCAACCAACACAACAUCCAUAUUUUUGUAGUAUAAUAUAGAAUGCCUAGUAUGCUCACAAUGACAUUGUGGUAUAGAUAUUGCUAGCUGUUGUACAUACAGCAUAUAUAAGUAUACUGUCAAGUGGGUAAAUUAUUCCAGCUGCAUUAGAAAAGUGUUGACUUCAACUUCUGGAUCAAUUCAUUGUGAUAUUCAUGAAAUGUAUUUGGAUAAACUAGCUUCUGUCUUACUGCACAAAACAAUGAUGCAGGGAGUUGGUGUAUCAUUUAAACUUUAAUUUGUUGGCAAGUUAAACAUGUUUCAAUAAAACAGUAUAUUAGUCUUUCAAUAGAAAGUAGAUUGACAGUAGAUUAGUCUGCUAAGUGACAAAUGUAAAAAAAAAAAAGAUAUAUAGUAAAUAAGGGACAUUGGCUUGUAUUCAAGACAAAGUUUAUUUGCUUUGGAGACCGAGGUGAGUGUACUCAGCAGUAUGCAGGAACAGUUAUGGCAAUUUAUAUACAGUAGAAUAAAAAUAUACUACUAACGCUUAUAAUAAAUACCCUGAAACGCUUAUGUACAAGCCCUUAACCAACAGUGCAGGUCAAGAAGAGUUAAGAAAAUAUUUACCAAAUAA